GCUCCUAUCGUUUAAAGGUAGAAGACAAUGCUUUUUCGUGGCAUAAAUGUGGGUUCAAAUCCCACUGGGAGUA
rnacentral:tRNA from 1 species